rnacentral:rRNA from 1 species
GAUCUCUUGGCUCUCGCAUCGAUGAAGAACGCAGCGAAAUGCGAUAAGUAAUGUGAAUUGCAGAAUUCAGUGAAUCAUCGAAUCUUUGAACGCACCUUGCACCCUUUGGUAUUCCGAAGGGUACGCCCGUUUGAGUGUCAUUGUAAUCUCACUACGAUCGACUUUGGUCUUUUGGUAUGUGGACUUGGAUGUUGCCGUCAAUGUCUACGGCUCGUCUGAAAUGCUUCAGUGUACCCCGCUUUGCGGCGUAUUCGGUGUGAUACAUCUUCACCGGAGUUGAUCCUUUUGGGGUCGCGUCUGUAAUGUGUGGCUCUAUGCUUCCAACCGUCUCUCGAGACAAUCUCUGACAAUUUGACCUCAAAUCGGGUGGGACUACCCGCUGAACUUAAGCAUAUCAAUAAGCGGAGGAAAAGAAACUAACAAGGAUUCCCCUAGUAACGGCGAGUGAAGAGGGAAAAGCUCAAAUUUUGAAUCUGGUGUCUUUGACUCCCGAGUUGUAAUCUAGAGAAGUGUUUUCCGCGUCGGACCGUGCACAAGUUCCCUGGAACGGGGCGUCAUAGAGGGUGAGAAUCCCGUAUAUGGCACGGACUGCCGAUGCUCUGUGAUACACUCUCAACGAGUCGAGUUGUUUGGGAAUGCAGCUCAAAAUGGGUGGUAAAUUCCAUCUAAAGCUAAAUAUUGGCGAGAGACCGAUAGCGAACAAGUACCGUGAGGGAAAGAUGAAAAGCACUUUGGAAAGAGAGUGAAACAGUACGUGAAAUUGUUGAAAGGGAAGCGUUUGAAGUCAGUCGUAUCUGGCGGGAUUCAGCUGGGCUUUUGCCCGGUGUACUUUUCGUCCGAUGGGUCAGCAUCAAUUUCGAUCGGGGGAAAAAGAUGUGGGGAAUGUGGCUG